rnacentral:lncRNA from 1 species
CCGGUCCAAUCCCGUGCUAUUUACCCCUACUAAAGGAUCCACGGGGGUUCCUGCAGUUGGCUUCCUGGGCAGAGAGGGGGCGAUGGUAACUCUUAGCACAGUCAUUUGACACUUGGGUUCCUUUCAGUCAUUCCAGCGGUGUGAGGUCCUUCAGUAACUGCAGCAUGGAGGACUUCUCCAAGUUUAUCGCAAGUCAAAGCUCCCACUGUCUUCAGAACCAGCCACACCUACAGCCGUCGUACAAGAUGGCAGUCUGUGGGAAUGGAGAGUUGGAAGAAGGAGAAGUUUGCGACUGUGGACAGGAGGGCUGUGACGAUAAGCCUCCUCCAUGCUGUAAUCCCACCACCUGUCAGCUGUCAGAGGGCUCCACUUGCUCCACCGGAAGUUGCUGCGACGCUUCGUGCAAUCUGAAGGCAAAAGGGGAACUUUGCAGGCCUGCCAAUCAGGAAUGUGACGUCACAGAGUACUGCAACGGCACUUCCGAAGUGUGUGAAGAAGACUUCUUUGUUCAAGACGGUCACCCAUGUGCAGAACAGAAGUGG